rnacentral:rRNA from 1 species
UACAGAGGUCCCAAGCGUUGUUCGGAUUCACUGGGCGUAAAGGGUGCGUAGGCGGUCGGGUAAGUCUGAUGUGAAAUCUCACAGCUUAACUGUGAAACUGCAUUGGAUACUAUUCGGCUUGAGAGUUGGAGGGGGGACUGGAAUUCUUGGUGUAGCAGUGAGAUGCGUAGAUAUCAAGUGGAACACCAGUGGCGAAGGCGAGUCUCUGGACAUUUCCUGACGCUGAGGCACGAAAGCCAGGGGAGCAAACGGG